UUCUGGCUCAGGACGAACGCUGGCGGCGCGCCUAACACAUGCAAGUCGAACGAGCAAAGAGGAGCUUGCUUCUCUGAGCGAGUGGCGAACGGGUGAGUAACGCGUGAGGAACCUGCCUCAAAGAGGGGGACAACAGUUGGAAACGACUGCUAAUACCGCAUAAGCCCACGGGUCGGCAUCGACCAGAGGGAAAAGGAGCAAUCCGCUUUGAGAUGGCCUCGCGUCCGAUUAGCUAGUUGGUGAGGUAAUGGCCCACCAAGGCGACGAUCGGUAGCCGGACUGAGAGGUUGAACGGCCACAUUGGGACUGAGACACGGCCCAGACUCCUACGGGAGGCAGCAGUGGGGAAUAUUGCUCAAUGGGGGAAACCCUGAUGCAGCGACGCCGCGUGGAGGAAGAAGGUCUUCGGAUUGUAAACUCCUGUUGUUGAGGAAGAUAAUGACGGUACUCAACAAGGAAGUGACGGCUAACUACGUGCCAGCAGCCGCGGUAAAACGUAGGUCACAAGCGUUGUCCGGAAUUACUGGGUGUAAAGGGAGCGCAGGCGGGAAGACAAGUUGGAAGUGAAAUCCAUGGGCUCAACCCAUGAACUGCUUUCAAAACUGUUUUUCUUGAGUAGUGCAGAGGUAGGCGGAAUUCCCGGUGUAGCGGUGGAAUGCGUAGAUAUCGGGAGGAACACCAGUGGCGAAGGCGGCCUACUGGGCACCAACUGACGCUGAGGCUCGAAAGUGUGGGUAGCAAACAGGAUUAGAUACCCUGGUAGUCCACACCGUAAACGAUGAUUACUAGGUGUUGGAGGAUUGACCCCUUCAGUAGGGCAGUUAACACAAUAAGUAAUCCACCUGGGGAGUACG
rnacentral:rRNA from 1 species